rnacentral:ncRNA from 59 species
UUGGUGAACCAGCGGAGGGAUCAUUA